GAUGAACGCUGGCGGCGUGCCUAAUACAUGCCAGUCGAGCGAACGGACGGUAAGCGUUCGCCUCUGAGGUUGGCGGCUGACGGGUGAGUAACACGUGGAUAGGCUACCUAUUUUACGGGGAGGACUUCGGAGAACCGGAUCUACUACCGGCUAAUAUGUUGAACCGCAUAAUUCAAGAGUGAUUCACGCUUUUGCUGUCACUUAUAGAUGGAUUCGUGCCGCAUUAGCUAGUUGGUAAGGUAACGGCUUACCAAGGCAACGAUGCGUAGCUGACCUGAGAGGAUGAUCGGCCACACUGGAACUGAGACACGGUCCAGACUCCUACGGGAGGCAGCAGUGGGGAAUAUUGGGCAAUGGGCGCAAGCCUGAUCCAGCCAUACCGCGUGAGUGAAGAAGGCCUUCGGAUUGUAAAGCCCUUUUGUUAGGGAAGAAAAGCAGCAUAUGAAAACCCCGCUGUUCUGACGGUACCUAAAGAAAAAGCACCGGCUAACUACGUG
rnacentral:rRNA from 1 species